CUAUCUGCGCCAUUUGGAAACCGUGUCACAAUAUUCAAGAGUAUCUUAUCGCCUUCUAUAUAAUAUACUCGCAUUUUUCGAAGUAGGUUAAUAGUGACAAUGGAUUUCAAAAUAUUAUUCGCUUUAUUGUGUUUGGUUAAGUACAACGAAGGGCUGUGUCAAGACAAAUGUCUUCCAUAUCCCGUCCCGUUCGAAGUGGGAUGCCCCUGUGCUUGCAGCUGUACUAGCAAUUGCUGUCCUACCAGCAGCUGCAGUCCUACUAGCAGUUGCAGUUCUGCCAGCUCUUGCUCAUGUUUCAGGGACGUCCAGAACCCAUGCAAUACUGUCGACGUGGUCUACUUCCCUGAAGUGCAGUAUCCCUGUUGUCCCGCCAGUAUUUGCAGUCCUACUAGCAUCUUCUGUCCGACUAGCAGUUGCUCCGGCUACAGGGAUGUCCACAACCCUUGUAAUACUGCUGACGUGAUCUACUUCCCUGAGGUGGAAUAUCCCUGUGGCAUGCAAUGGGAUAAGCCGUAUUACUACGGUACUUGUUGGUGUACUUGAAUAAAUGUUACAAACUG